UUCGGGAUGCCGACGAGUGGCGAACGGGUGCGUAACGCGUGGGUAGCUGCCCUGAAGUGGGGGACAACAUCUGGAAACAGGUGCUAAUACCGCAUAAUCUCUACGGAGGAAAGGAUUUAUUCGCUUUGGGAGGCGCCCGCGUCGGAUUAGCUUGUUGGUGAGGUAACGGCUUACCAAGGCAACGAUCCGUAGCUGGUCUGAGAGGAUGAUCAGCCACACUGGGACUGAGACACGGCCCAGACUCCUACGGGAGGCAGCAGUGGGGAAUAUUGCGCAAUGGGGGCAACCCUGACGCAGCGAUGCCGCGUGAGUGAAGAAGGCCUUCGGGUUGUAAAGCUCUUUCAGUGGGGAAGAAUACAAUUGACGGUACCCACAGAAGAAGCCCCGGCUAACUCCGUGCCAGCAGCCGCGGUAAUACGGAGGGGGCGAGCGUUGUUCGGAUUUACUGGGCGUAAAGGGCGCGUAGGCUGUCAGGCAAG
rnacentral:rRNA from 1 species